rnacentral:rRNA from 1 species
UGUCGUCAGCUCGUGUCGUGAGAUGUUGGGUUAAGUCCCGUAACGAGCGCAACCCUUGUCCUUAGUUACCAGCACGUUAUGGUGGGCACUCUAAGGAGACUGCCGGUGACAACCGGAGGAAGGUGGGGAUGACGUCAAGUCAUCAUGGCCCUUACGGCCUGGGCUACACACGUGCUACAAUGGUCGGUACAAAGGGUUGCCAAGCCGCGAGGUGGAGCUAAUCCCAUAAAACCGAUCGUAGUCCGGAUCGCAGUCUGCAACUCGACUGCGUGAAGUCGGAAUCGCUAGUAAUCGUGAAUCAGAAUGUCACGGUGAAUACGUUCCCGGGCCUU